CCAUCAGAACUCCGCAGUUAAGCGUGCUUGGGCGAGAGUAGUACUAGGAUGGGUGACCUCCUGGGAAGGCCUCGUGUUGCACCCCGAUCAUACCAGCAUUAAUGCACCG
rnacentral:rRNA from 1 species